GCGGGUGUGGUGUAAUGGUAGCACAGCAGCCUUCCAAGCUUCUUGAGAGGGUUCGAGUCCCUUCACCCGCU
rnacentral:tRNA from 1 species